UACGGAGGGUGCAAGCGUUACUCGGAAUCACUGGGCGUAAAGGGUGCGUAGGCGGGUUAUCAAGUCUCGAGUGAAAUCCAACGGCUUAACCGUUGAACUGCUUGGGAAACUGGUAGCCUAGAGUGAGGGAGAGGCAGAUGGAAUUGGUGGUGUAGGGGUAAAAUCCGUAGAGAUCACCAGGAAUACCCAUUGCGAAGGCGAUCUGCUGGAACUCAACUGACGCUGAGGCACGAAAGCGUGGGGAGCAAAC
rnacentral:rRNA from 2 species